rnacentral:lncRNA from 1 species
GGCUUUAUCAGCCCAAUACCUUCCUGGCCAUGGGAAAAUCAUAACCAUAGAUUUCGUAGGACGAUUUCCCUAUCUCUUAAAGGGGGGAUAACUACGUUUUUUUCGUAGUAGACUUCUUUCCCUUUAUCUCGCUAUUGGUCACUAGUAGAACUCCCCUACUCACUAGAUAUGAUUUAUUGAUUGAUGAACCCUGAUCACUAAGCGCACUUACUUUCACUUUAAGGCUUUAUUGAAAGGAAUGGGGAAUCUUCUUAUUCAUUAAAGGUGAGUUUUCUUACUGGUUCAAGGAA